rnacentral:rRNA from 1 species
GGAGUCUGGGCCGUGUCUCAGUCCCAAUGUGGCCGAUCACCCUCUCAGGUCGGCUACCGAUCGUUGACUUGGUGGGCCGUUACCUCACCAACUAUCUAAUCGGACGCGAGCUCACCCUUCACCGGAUUGCUCCUUUGACCUCUCUUCCAUGCGGAAGCGUGGUCUUAUGCGGUAUUAGAACACCUUUCGGUAUCUUAUCCCCCUGUGAAGGACAGAUUGCUCACGCGUUACUCACCCGUCCGCCGCUAAAACAUAAGAUCUUCCGGCCGAAGCUUUCCGUUCUUAUGUCUCCGCUCGACUUGCAUGUGUUAGGCACGCCGCCAGCGUUCGUC